rnacentral:rRNA from 1 species
AUUGAACGCUGGCGGCAUGCUUUACACAUGCAAGUCGAACGGCAGCGCGGGCUUCGGCCUGGCGGCGAGUGGCGAACGGGUGAGUAAUACAUCGGAACGUGCCCAGUAGUGGGGGAUAGCUCGGCGAAAGCCGGAUUAAUACCGCAUACGACCUGAGGGUGAAAGCGGGGGAUCUUCGGACCUCGCGCUAUUGGAGCGGCCGAUGGCAGAUUAGCUAGUUGGUGGGGUAAAGGCCUACCAAGGCGACGAUCUGUAGCUGGUCUGAGAGGACGACCAGCCACACUGGGACUGAGACACGGCCCAGACUCCUACGGGAGGCAGCAGUGGGGAAUUUUGGACAAUGGGCGAAAGCCUGAUCCAGCAAUGCCGCGUGUGUGAUGAGGCCUUCGGGUUGUAAAGCACUUUUGGCGGGAACGAAAAGGACUGUGCCAAUACCACGGUUCGAUGACGGUACCCGCAGAAUAAGCACCGGCUAACUACGUG